UAUCUCUGUAGAGUCUGCAUAUCAAUAAGCGGAGGAAAAGAAACUAACUAGGAUUCCCUCAGUAACGGCGAGUGAAGCGGGAAGAGCUCAAAUUUGAAAUCUUCAAGGUUCUACCUUGACGAAUUGUAGUUUAAAGAAGUGUUUUCUGUUGGAGUUUUGGUAAAAGUUCUUUGGAAUAGGACAUCAUAGAGGGUGAGAAUCCCGUAUUUGACCAUUAUUUCCAGCUUUGUGAUACACUUUCAAAGAGUCGGAUUGUUUGGGAAUGCAGUCCAAAAUGGGUGGUAAAUUUCAUCUAAAGCUAAAUAUUGGCGAGAGACCGAUAGCGAACAAGUACCGUGAGGGAAAGAUGAAAAGAACUUUGAAAAGAGAGUUAAACAGUACGUGAAAUUGUCAAAAGGGAAGCGUUUGACACCAGUGUUGUUUUCUCGAAAAUCAAUUAGAAAAGGCAGGAUUUUGUGUUGUAUUGACUUUAUCAGCUUUCUGCACUCUUUUCUUGUCUUUUUUAAUGCACUUUUCGUUUAACAAGUCAACAUCAAUUUCUUUUGUUGUAAAAGAGGUCAUUGGAAGGUGGCUUUCUUUUCGGAGAAAGUGUUUAUAGCCUUUGGCCUUCUGCAAUCGGAGAGAUUGAGGUCUAGCAGCGUAGAUCCUUCGGGGUUAGAUACAUUUGUGCUAAGUUAUAGCCUUUCAUAGACAACUUGUUGACUAUGAUCAGUCAUGUAGCUUACUCGCUUAUGCUAUUUUACCUACGCUUAGGAUGUUGAGUCAUCACACAUCUCU
rnacentral:rRNA from 1 species